GAUACAUGGCUCAGAUUGAACGCUGGCGGCAGGCCUAACACAUGCAAGUCGAACGGUAACAGGAAGAAGCUUGCUUCUUUGCUGACGAGUGGCGGACGGGUGAGUAAUGUCUGGGAAACUGCCUGAUGGAGGGGGAUAACUACUGGAAACGGUAGCUAAUACCGCAUAACGUCGCAAGACCAAAGAGGGGGACCUUCGGGCCUCUUGCCAUCGGAUGUGCCCAGAUGGGAUUAGCUAGUAGG
rnacentral:rRNA from 1 species